rnacentral:rRNA from 1 species
AACGUAGGACGCGAGCGUUAUCCGGAUUUACUGGGCGUAAAGCGCGUGCAGGCGGUCUGUUAAGUCGUGCGUGAAAGCUCCCUGGCUCAACCGGGAGAGGUCGUACGAGACUGGCAGGCUUGAGGGCAGCAGAGGAGUGUAGAAUUCCGGGUGUAGUGGUGAAAUGCGUAGAUAUCCGGAGGAACACCAGUGGCGAAGGCGACACUCUGGGCUGUACCUGACGCUAAGACGCGAAAGCAUGGGUAGCGAACGGGAUUAGAAACCCCGGUAGUCCAUGCCGUAAACGAUGUGCACUAGGCGUAGGGGGGUCACACCCGCUGUGCCGAAGCUAACGCGAUAAGUGCACCGCCUGGGGACUACGGCCGCAAGGCUAAA